GUGCUCGCUUAAGCAGCACAUAUACUAAACUUGGAAAGAUACAGAGAAGAUUAGCAUGGCCCUUGCGCAAGGAUGACACGCAAAUUCGUGAAACGUUCUCUUUUUCU
ensembl:snRNA LOC120096447 U6 spliceosomal RNA